GUAGACGACACGGUCGAUAGGCUACAGAUGUAAAGACAGUAAUGUCAAAGUCGAGUAGUACUAAUUACCCGAAAGCUUACCUUU
rnacentral:rRNA from 1 species